rnacentral:rRNA from 1 species
UACGUAGGUGGCAAGCGUUGUCCGGAAUUAUUGGGCGUAAAGCGCGCGCAGGCGGUCCUUUAAGUCUGAUGUGAAAUCUCGCGGCUCAACCGCGUGCGGUCAUUGGAAACUGGAGGACUUGAGUGCAGAAGAGGAAAGUGGAAUUCCAAGUGUAGCGGUGAAAUGCGUAGAGAUUUGGAGGAACACCAGUGGCGAAGGCGACUUUCUGGUCUGUAACUGACGCUGAGGCGCGAAAGCGUGGGGAG